UGGCUAUGAAGAAAAAAAGGCCGGACUUACAGCUGCUAACCUUAUUUAAAGGUUUUGGUAGUAGAUUGAUGACAAGUUCUAAAAGGUUUUUUCUGAGCCUA